rnacentral:rRNA from 1 species
CAACCUAGUACAAUGGGUAAGAUACAACAUACUUGUCCUAAGUGGGCCUGAAAGCAGCCACCUUUUAAAAAGCGUUAAAGCUUAAUAUUACCUUUACUCACCAAUUCCAACAUUCCCUACGAACCCUUAACUACAACUGAAUAAUUCUAUAAUACUAUAGAAGAUAUAAUGCUAAAACUAGUAACAAGAAGUUGACCUUCUCCAAAAUGCAAGCAAAAACCUAAUCGGACCAACCAUUGGUUAAUAACGCCUAUGAACUAAAUAUAGUAACUCACUCUAGUAAACUCUAUAAAUAAAAGCGUUAACCUUACACAAGAGCAUUUCUGGAAAGAUUAAAAGAAAAAGAAGGAACUCGGCAAAUCCAGGCCUCGCCUGUUUACCAAAAACAUCGCCUCUUGACUUCCAUAAGAGGUCCAGCCUGCCCAGUGAUACUAUUAAACGGCCGCGGUACCCUGACCGUGCGAAGGUAGCAUAAUAACUUGUUCUUUAAAUGGGGACUAGCAUGAACGGCAUCACGAGGGUCUCACUGUCUCCUUUUUCUAAUCAGUGAAACUGAUCUCCCCGUGAAGAAGCGGGGAUAAAAAUAUAAGACGAGAAGACCCCAUGGAGCUUUAAACCCAAUAGACACCUCUGACUAAUCUAACCCAAAACACUUCUUAAGUUCUGUCUAUUGGUUUUAGGUUGGGGUGACCACGGAGUACAAUAAAUCCUCCAUGACGUACGGGACUUCCCUCUUAUCCUUGAACCACAUUUCUAAGAAUCAACAAAUUGACGUUUGAUGAUCCAAUAUAUUGAUCAACGGACCAAGUUACCCUGGGGAUAACAGCGCAAUCCAUUUUAAGAGCCCCUAUCGCCAAAUGGGUUUACGACCUCGAUGUUGGAUCAGGGUAUCCUAGUGGUGCAGCCGCUACUAAUGGUUUGUUUGUUCAACAAUUAAAACCCUACGUGAUCUGAG